GUGUAGUGUGAAAAGAGAGAAAGUUAGCACUCCCCUUGAUAAGGAUGGAAAAGGUUCUAAUGGCCUAUAUACAACACACAUAUGGUUAAGGCACUGCUGCAUAAUUUGGGCAUCUAGCCCCUUUUUGUU